rnacentral:rRNA from 1 species
UACGGAGGGUGCGAGCGUUGUCCGGAAUCACUGGGCGUAAAGGGCGCGUAGGCGGCGCGGGGAGUCAACAGUGAAAGCUCGGCGCUCAACGCCGAGUCGGCCGUCGAUACUCCCGUGCUUGAGCACUGUAGAGGCAGGUGGAAUUCCGGGUGUAGCGGUGGAAUGCGUAGAGAUCCGGAAGAACACCGGUGGCGAAGGCGGCCUGCUGGGCAGUAGCUGACGCUGAGGCGCGACAGCGUGGGGGGCAAACAGG